UGGGCCCUCUCUGCUGUGACAUUCCAUACUUUCCCUUGUGUGUGUACAGGUUGUCUGUACAACCUACACAGCACUCAUCCAGGGUGCUUACCAGCUCGUGCAGGCAGUAUUUUCUAUGCCUGCUGCUAUGCAGGACACUUUGAACCAGCUCAAUAAAAACACAUUUAUGCCGAUGCUGGCUGCUUUUGUCAGAGCAGAAACAGUCCGGCCCCAUCUCACAGCCCUCCUGCUGCUUUGCUUGUGCUAGAGUUGGUUCGAGUGCCUUUGCUGUGCCCUGCCAGCAAGCACACACUGCUGCUGCUCUCGCGCUCUCCUGCUUUCCUUCCCCCACCCAUCUUAGGAAAUAAUUAGCAAAGAAGAAAUAAUAAAGCAAUAGAGUGCACUGCUGAGGCUUCCGACAGCUGCUGGCAGCCGUGCUAGCAUGCUCCUGGAGCUGCCGCUUCCCAAGAGAGCCACGUCAGCCUCCUUUCCCGGGUGCCCCCACCCUCCCCGCACCGGGGCAGAGGGCAGAUAGAGAGGAAGGCGUCCAGGUGGCACCAGCCUCCUGCAGCACGUGGGCAUUGCAGGAAAAGGGAAUGCCGCCUUUCCCUCAGGGCAGGACAGGCAGUGUCCCACUGUGCAAAGCUCUGCCACAGUGAAUAUGUGGGCUAUGGGUUCAGGAUGUAAACGGGUGCACUGUUAGAGCAGCAUACAUCUGUGGUGUUGCUUGUCUCAGCCAAAAGUAUCAGAGAUUACUAAAGUAGCAGCAGCAAACUCUGUCACAACCCAAUGAGCGCUGAUGAGUGCAUCUGAAGUUCAGAGAGUGAGAAGUAUGCAGGAUGCAGAGCUCCCUGGAACCAAGACAGGCACCAAGGGGACAUCUUGCCACUUCCCACUUCUCGGAUGAGAUGGUCAAAGGAGGAAAGCACAGCUGCUUUGCCACCUCCUCUCCAGCCUCAGCUGCUCUACUGAGAGCCACUGCAAUGGCAUCGGUCCCACCACAUUGACAGCAGGGAGAUUGAGAUUUUCCGGCACUCUGGGAACCUCCAUGUCAGCUCUGCACUUUGCAGCAUUCCUUCUACCUUGCCAUACACUUGAUAUGGCAUAUGUUCACCACUUUCUUACUGAUGUCAUAUAAUUGCAGUGUCCUUAUUUGAUUAGCAAGCUCAGGCAUGCUUGACUCACGUUGUAUCUCAGUUGUUUUCAUCCAUAAACACUGAUGUGUUAACUUCUGAAACAAUGCCUAUGUAACUCCCAGGGCAGAGUUUUGAUUCUGUCCUGGAACAAGAACACUCUUCUCUUGUCUGAUGGCUUUUUAUUCUUCAUCUUUUCCCAUCACUUGCUUCUCAAACAAGAUUUUCACUGGCAAUAACCAGAAUAAACUUAAUUAAUUGUUUGGAAAUUUAAUGUCUCCUGCUAGCUGUUUCUCAGGCACAUAUUUAACUUUUUUACUGCUUGUUGGAUCAAAUACCCUAAUAUGGAUUCAAAAUUUAAAGCCUACCUCCCCUGCUCAGACCACCCUCCAAAGCAGGGAUGUGCAGCUAGCAUGCACACACAUUCCCAAAGCAGUCUGGUUGCCUUUGCAUAGUGCCAAACCUUCUGACCUGAAAUUUUCUGGCUGCUGCCAGUGCCCAGGCUGUCCCUCUCCAAAGCGCUUUGCUACCCUACCCCACAUGCCUCUACAGACAGGUAUUCUCUCCAGGUACUGACUGGUGGCCUUGACUGAGGACAACUGGGAGAACCAUUUGAGGAACUUGCUUUCGCUGUUUAAUGUCCUUCCCCUCACCUCUCAUCCAGCAGGGAGAUUCUUCCUGUAAUUCUUCCUCAAUCCCUGCCUCUUCAGCCCUGCUGGAAAAGAGCUCAGAGCUAUCCCAGGAGCCUGGCCUGCCACCCCACUCUUCUUACCCACUGCUGGCACCUGCACCCUGCACACUCCACUUACAUAUCGUCCUCUGAGGCUGUUUAGCUCCAGUGUGGAUAUCACAAGCCACUUGUCUAGAGGCUUGAUUCUCCACCCGCUUAUAUCUUCUGAGUCUUUUCUAAGUAUCCACAGGUCCAGAGAGGGAUCCCUGUGAACUGAUGGGUGGUGCUUGACCAAGGGAGGCCACUGAGAAGUUCAGCUCCGGACUUUCUUUCUAACAAGUGACCUGCGAGUGAAAUGUGGGAAAAGUAGUACCUAGAUCAUCAUCUGGUAUAAAUCAACAAAGCCCCACUAAAGACAUUAAAGCUAUACUGGUCUACACCAUCUGGGAGUUUGGCCGCAGGGAAGGACUUCUUAAUGUUGAGUUUUUAGCCUUUGUCACAGAUAGACAUGGGAGGAGAGUUAGUGCCCGAUCUGCACUCAGCGAGUGUUACCAGUGUUACCAACCCCUACAGAGAUCAAUAGCAGCUCCCUGCUCACAUCAAGGGCAGAGUGAUGCCCUAAAAUUAGCAUCUGUUUGAAUCAGUGCAUUGUAUCUUGUUUGCAGAUUAGUAGCACUGAGUAGAUAUUGAGGGCACAGGAAAGCUAGCCAGCUUAAACAAAGUCAGAACUGACCUGAAUUUUUUCUAAGCUGAAACUGACCUUUUUGGAUAGGACAGGGAAGAAGAGGUGUUCAGAAACACUCAGGUUUAGGUUCAGUUCAGUGUUUUGUGUCUUCUCGUGCACUAUCUGACUGGAACAGAUAAGGAAUAAUACAAUUUUACAUACUUCCAACUUGGGCUGAAUGGAGCAGUGC
ensembl:lncRNA